UCUCCGUUGGUGAACCAGCGGAGGGAUCAUUACAGAGUUUUCACAACUCCCAACCCUUGCGAACCGUACCCAUUCUGUUCUCGUUGCUCCCGGCUGGGCUGACGUGGGGGCCCGAAACGGCCUCCCCGCCCCGCCCGCCGGGGGCGGCGCGCCCGACCAAUCUUUAUAUCCCAACCACCAGAAAUCCUCUGACAAAACAAACAAAAUAAACAAUAUUUUCAACAAUAGAUCCUUUGGUUCUGCCAUCAAUGAAGAACGCAGCAGACCGGAAGAGCACAA
rnacentral:misc_RNA from 1 species